rnacentral:lncRNA from 1 species
GCAUCUAGCUCUCACAUUCUAGCCACUGUCCUCUUUGUCUGUAGGUCGCUUUACACUUUCAAUUGCCAUGACGCUUCCUCAUUCAAACUCUUAACUGAAAUUAUUACUCUCGAAUACAUAAGAAAUACAAGAAAUGGCAAUCUUAAAAAAAACAACCCAAAAUGAUACCACAGAAUGACCUCUAACUAGUGUCCAAUUCCUAAUCUCUUAUUACUUGGUGAUAAUGACAACAUACUACCCAUACUUUCCGUUUCUCACCUCCGUCCC